CCCUUAGAUGUUCUGGGCAACACGCGCGCUACAAUGGUCUUCGCAAACGGAUGCAUUCUCGAAGGAGAAUGCCAAUCUUGGAAUCUAUGCCUUGGUCGGGACAGUUGCUUGCAAUUUUUCGACCCGAACCAGGAAUUCCUUGUAAUCGUGAUUCAUCACAUCACGAUGAAUACGUCCCUGCCCUUUGUACACACCGCCCGUCGCUCCUACCGAUCGAAGAGUUAGGUGAAUUGUUUUGAUCGAUAAGAUUUGACUAUGGUCAACUCUCGUUGUGAAAUUCUGUGAAUCUGACUGUUUAGAGGAAGGAAAAGUCGUAACA
rnacentral:rRNA from 1 species